GAUGAACGCUGGCGGCGUGCUUAAUACAUGCAAGUCGAGCGAAGCACUUUAACGGAAUUCUCCGGAAGGAAGGUAAAGUGACUGAGCGGCGGACGGGUGAGUAACGCGUGGGUAACCUGCCUUAUACAGGGGGAUAACAGUUAGAAAUGGCUGCUAAUACCGCAUAAGCGCACAGGGCCGCAUGGCCCGGUGUGAAAAACUCCGGUGGUAUAAGAUGGACCCGCGUCUGAUUAGCUGGUUGGUGGGGUGAUGGCUUACCAAGGCUUUGACGGGUAACCGGCCCGAGAGGGUGACCGGUCACAUUGGGACUGAGAUACGGCCCAG
rnacentral:rRNA from 1 species